UACAGGGCUACUUCUAGUCUUGUAAUUGGAAUGAGUACAACUUACAUCUCUUCACGAGGAUCAAUUGGAGGGCAAGUCUGGUGCCAGCAGCCGCGGUAAUUCCAGCUCCAAUAGCGUAUAUUAAAGUUGUUGCAGUUAAAAAGCUCGUAGUCGGAUUUCGGGUCGGGCCGAGCGGUCUGCCGAUGGGUAUGCACUGUUCGGCGCGGCCUUCUUUCCGGAGACCGCGGCUACUCUUAACUGAGCGGGCGUGGGAGACGGAUCGUUUACUUUGAAAAAAUCAGAGUGUUUCAAGCAGGCAGCUCGCUCUUGCAUGGAUCAGCAUGGGAUAAUGAAAUAGGACUCUGGUGCUAUUUUGUUGGUUUCGAACACC
rnacentral:rRNA from 1 species